UAGACGAUAAAGAUAAAUUAAAAGUCAACGACGUCAUUCCUAAGGACGUACAAGACGAUUUUUCAAAGUGUUUUGAAUAAUAAAUUGUGAAUAUUAACUAAACAUUUUGAUUAUAAUAUUAAAUAAUUAAUACUAUUACAAUAUUUUAAAGAAAAUAGUUAAUGGAUAUUAUAUUAUUUCAAAAUGAGAUAGUGUAGCUAUACGAUUGUAAUUUAAUAAACAUUUUUUUUUAAAGUUAAUCUUUUUUAUUCUUAUAAUCGAAAAACAGACAUAAAAUUAAAUGUAAAUUUAUAUAAUUAAAGCUAUAAACCACAAAUAUUUUAUUACUACAUAUUUAGUUAUGAAAAAAAAAAUAUAUAUCUUAAUAUUUUUUAGUCGUUUACAAAGGUACAAUGUAUCUUUUGACUUUGCCUAUUAAAAUAUAUAUAUUUAUAAGCAGAUUGUUAAUUAAGUUUAUUUAAUUAUAAUUGCAAUAAAAGAGGGUUGAGAUGCACUCGAUUAACACGACGUUAAAAUAAUGGUUUUAAUAUUAAUAAUAUGUAUCGAAAUAUGUAGUAUUACAAAUUAAUGCUUAUUGCAUAAAAUGAAACAUUACAUUGACACUCACGAUUCUAUUAUAUCUAAGUCCAAUGCGCUCUAAGGUAUAGAAAAUAUAUUUUGCGGACAGUGCAGUGAGUACAUAGUUGCAGCGGAAUGGAAUUCGAACUUUAUGUCCAUAGACUUCUUUGCGAUUGAAAAAAAAGUACUCAUGUAUUUCAUAGCGUCCAUGCAAUUCGUAUUUAUAGCAUUAUUAAAUUGUUCGUAUCCGUCGUCGAUGUCGGAUAAUUUUGUUUCGGACCACUGCGAAAAGUCUUUUUGUUCAUCCGAGGGAAUAAAUUCGUCGACAUUUAUACUAACGCUGUUGUCUACAAUUUUUAUUAUGGAAAUGAGAGAGACCAUGCGAUUAGUGGGUUGGGGUUCAUUCUGUGCGUCUGUAUCGGUGUAUAAAGGUAAAUCGAGAUAUUUGUAAAAUAAUUCUGUUCCNU